CCCUUAGAUGUUCUGGGCUGCACGCGCGCUACACUGAAGCGUUCAACGAGUAUUCACCUUGCCCGGGAGGGUUGGGUAAUCUUUUGAAAACGCUUCGUGAUGGGGAUAGAUUAUUGCAAUUAUUAAUCUUCAACGAGGAAUUCCUAGUAAGCGCGAGUCAUCAGCUCGUGCUGAUUACGUCCCUGCCCUUUGUACACACCGCCCGUCGCUCCUACCGAUUGGAUGAUCCGGUGAGCUAUUCGGACUUUCGCAUUGUCGAUUUUCGGCUUUACGAGGGAAAGUCUCGCGAACCUUAUCAUCUAGAGGAAGGAGAAGUCGUAACA
rnacentral:rRNA from 1 species